AUUGAACGCUGGCGGCAUGCCUUACACAUGCAAGUCGAACGGCAGCACGGGGGCAACCCUGGUGGCGAGUGGCGAACGGGUGAGUAAUACAUCGGAACGUGUCCAGUAGCGGGGGAUAACCCGGCGAAAGCCGGACUAAUACCGCAUACGACCUACGGGUGAAAGCAGGGGAUCGCAAGACCUUGCGCUAUCGGAGCGGCCGAUGUCAGAUUAGCUAGUUGGUGGGGUAAAAGCCCACCAAGGCGACGAUCUGUAGCUGGUCUGAGAGGACGACCAGCCACACUGGGACUGAGACACGGCCCAGACUCCUACGGGAGGCAGCAGUGGGGAAUUUUGGACAGUGGGCGCAAGCCUGAUCCAGCCAUGCCGCGUGCGGGAAGAAGGCC
rnacentral:rRNA from 1 species